rnacentral:rRNA from 1 species
GACGUAGGGCGCGAGCGUUGUCCGGAUUUAUUGGGCGUAAAGAGCUCGUAGGCGGCUUGUCGCGUCGACUGUGAAAACCCGAGGCUCAACUUCGGGCUUGCAGUCGAUACGGGCAGGCUAGAGUUCGGUAGGGGAGACUGGAAUUCCUGGUGUAGCGGUGGAAUGCGCAGAUAUCAGGAGGAACACCGAUGGCGAAGGCAGAUCUCUGGGCCGUAACUGACGCUGAGGAGCGAAAGCAUGGGGAGCGAACAGG